rnacentral:pre_miRNA from 1 species
GAGAUACCCUUAGGAGCAGGACUUGCUUCUGUGGGGCUUUGGUGCUCACUGAGUCUUCCCUUUGAGUGUGUCACU